UGUUUCAGAGCCUCCAUAAGCACUGUGUCAGGAGUUCUGUACUACACUACACUACUUGUAAUUUUCUUUUCUCUGUGUAACUGGGUGUAACAUGGAAGGACUAUUUUGACGUCGAUGUGCCUGUUUUGGAUGAAUCUGUGAAUCUCUGGAUCUGCGGCCUAGUUUGCCACGACACUGGGAGUGACAACAACCUUACUUCAGGACAGAUAAGCAUGAGAUCUCAACAAACACACUACCCAGGUCGAGACAGAGAUACUACUGUAAGGGUCCAGCACCAUCUGAGCGCAGCGGACGAUGGUCACCAACAGGAAGAAGCAGAGCAUGAAGAAGAAGAAGAGGGCAAAACCGAGGUCCACGUCGAUAUCCAACCUGGACACAGGGAGGACUGGAGGGUCCAUGUUGACAAAUCCACAGAGGAAAAUGUUUGUUGUCUUGUCUGUUUACUUCCCUCUUGGUGGUGUGCACCAUCAAAGCCAAUCAUUGUAAUCCAUUGUGCUGCUGCAGAGAACUCUUCUACCGCUUAAUCUGAAUUCAACAAAUGAUUCCUCUGUCUUCGUCUCUACUUCCUUCCUCCAGCAUUGACACCUUCUGUCCUCUGCCCGAAGACAAAACAGAUAGGUGGACACACGGAGCCCCAUUUGGCACCUGUGUCCUCCAUGAAUAGUUAAUAUAAGGAGUUUGGUAACGAUCAGGCCGUUUCUGAGAUUAGAACACCCAGGCAUCUCUCUGGUCUCUACAGGAGAAGAGACCUCAACAGGAGAUGACACCUUAACGUGAGUCACUGGAUCCCUGGUCAGUACAAGGUAAGAACACACGACGAACACAACAGAAACAUGCAGCCGGACACGAGUUUUUAAAGCUUCAUGAAGCAAAUGUGGUGUGUAGAUUAAGAUGCUCUUAACCAAUCAGUUCCCACAACACAUAUCCCUGCACAUGUGCGGUUUUUGAUUUUUAUGGUGGCAAAGUGGUGGAAAAAACGAGAACAGAAUGGUCAAGAUGCACAAAGGAAAACAAAAAAGGUUGAGGAAGAGAAAGAGGAUAUGAUGCCUUCGUGGCAAUCCACUUGAGAGGGGUUGGAAACUGAUCCUGACCAAAAAAAAUGCAGAUUGCUUGUAUUCUGAUGCCACACACACACAGACACACACACAAGUUAAGAGUAAAGUGACUCUAUGCAAAUAACAGAGAAUCUGAGUAAAAAGAAGUGCGAAGAGAGAACAGCCUGUACGUGCUGACGUGAUACCAGCACAAGACGUCACCUGUGGCCACCGUCAACACAGUAAACCUAUCUUCAACCUGUACUAGCAUUAACGCCGUCUGUUUUCACCCCCAGGCUGUGAAAGAGAGGACAGAAGGACGAAGGCGGAAACUGAUCCCAGGAGAUACCCACAGAUCUCUCGAGUCUUAACCGAUAUACAGAAUGGGGAGAGAAAACAGAUACAGGCCAAUCAAAGCAACGCUGGCUUCUGUUUCUUCACCAAAUACGAACUUAAAACUGUGUCGAGGAAGUGAAUACAUGCAAGGAGGUAACUGAAAACAGCCAUGACUUGCAUGAGUGUGAUCAGCAGAGUGCAGUCAAAACAAGAGUGGGAAUAAAUAUGACUUUGUGAUUAAGGAAUAAAUGAUGCUGUGUGUGUCGUGGCUACGGCUACGACGAAUCAUGUUCAGUUGAGAACACACUCAAGCUGCUUCACUUUCGACAAUUUAACAAUUUAAUACAAAAAACAAACAUUUCUUUCUCUCGUUUAACAUUUCAUAUACAGUAUAUUUAUAUAUUUGCGUUUCUAUGAGUGAUAGAAGUUCACAUCAUCGGAGAAAAAAAACCUGGAUACAGAGCAACCGAUAACAAAGACAUCACAGUCACCAACAUACCAUCCUUUUAGAAGAAUACUUCACCUGCAAAAUUACCAUUUCCAGAUCAGUUACUUUGUUUUUCUCACACGCCUCUACAGUGAAUGGAGAAUAUGAAAAGGUGAGCAUUCUUCAUGCACAGGGGCCGUGAUAAACAGCAGCAAAACAUCUGCAGUAUAAUCCAAGCCUCAUUUAUCCAGUUGUAUGCUCAGUACUUCCCAAAAUCAUGUAUUUUAGCGUAAAAAUAUAAGCAUAAAACAUUUCCACCUACAAGUAGCACACCCUAAAUGUGCCUGAGCUCCACUUGAACAAAGUUCAUACGCAUUCACAUGCCCAGGCACACCACUCAUCCAUGUCUGAGACUGUCUUUGUCUCUUUGUCUUUGUACUGACGUGUUUUAAAUCGCAAUGUUUCAGUGAAAAUGCAUGUGUUAGGAAGAGCUGAGCAUACGACUGGAUAAACAAGACUUGCUUACUUCAAUUCAUGAAGCAUGUUUGCCUUUUUUGGUUCCCCAUUCAUUGUGGAGGUAUAAAAGAAAAAGUCAAGUUAACACGCGGUGACUAAUUGACAAAGAAAUGGUCAUGCUGCGGGUGAAGUCUUCCUUUAAAGAUGAAAACUGGACAAUUAUUAACAUGGGUUUACAUACAGUUACAUAACUCGUCACCAUACGCGUGAGUGUUUCACACAGACGAUGGAAAACUGUAAUAAAAGGGUCAAAUUUAAACUAAUUCCACAUAUUAAAAAUCAAAAAAUAUUUUAGAAGCAUUAUCUUUCAUACCACAACAUUCUUCUAUAAUACAAAUUUACCAAAAGCUGAUUGUUAAACACACGUGGUUGAAAUUCCAAAUGUUUGUCACAAACAAGAGGACAGAACACCAAGAAAAAUAAAAACCUUUGAGGGAAUUUUCACUGGUAGAUCUCGUUGAUUUUUAGCUCUGCUUCUUCCAUUUUAAAUCCUAAAUACCCUGAUCAAACCAUUUAUUAAAUACCAAUCAGAGCAGGUCAAUGGAGAGGUCAAGAGAUCCGUCAAAAUAACAACAAAAUAAUCGGGAACAUUUCAAUUAAAUCAAACAUUACUAACACACCUCUCAUUUUUAAAACAUUAAUCAAGGAAAACAUCUGACAACAAAUAAAGAAUGGCUUUAAAAGUACACAAUUCCUGCUUGUUAAUUAUUGCUGUGUGAUUUCUUUUCUUUAUAUUUCUUUUACAAAAGGAGUACAAAAACCCAUACUUGGUACAGGGUAAUGCAUGAGACAGAAAGAAAUAUUAAGCAAGUCAGAAACCCUACGACUGUGUAACAGUUGAUAGUUAAACUGUACGCAUCCGUUAUACAUACAUACACACAUGCAUACUGUAUAUAUGUUUAUGUAGGCAAAGAAAAA